UACGAGCGCGUCGCCGAUAACGUUGACGAAUGACUAGUCUCGAUGAUGAUCAGAUAGCUUGCAUUUACACCCAACGACCGUCGCGGCUCGUAGCGUACGCGUCGUGAGCAACGAAGGCAGGGGUCGCGGGCAGACUCGCAGACAUGAUCAACGAUUUAUUUUUAAACACUGAUCCUAAUAGGUCCGUACGGGUGGGUCAAAACCCCCACCUUCGGCGACACUUAAGAGACGGUAAAUUUCGCGGUGAAAAUUUUCUUUUCAAAACUUUCGAUCGGUCGAUCUGGCUCAAAUUCACAUUUCAUCGCGAAUUCACAUUUCUCGGAACUCCUGACGGCUUCUGACGGCGCAGGGAUGGCCGGUCGCCGGCGAUUCGCGAUGAAAUGUGAAUUUGAGCCCAGAUCGACCGAUCGAAAGUUUUGAAAGGAAAAUUUUCACCGCGAAAUUUACCGUCUCUUAAGUGUAUUGUGAAAGUGGGGCAAACGACCCACCCUGAGGACUCUGCCUAACUGAAGGGUUAAGUGUUAUUCAAAGAAAUACGUUCACUUAUGAUUAUGUGCUUUAGAAGUAAAUUCCGACCAUAUGGAUACAUAUUUAAACUAUUUAAUACGCAUAGAUAGGGAAUUUAAAUUCCCGCCGAGCGCAUGAAAUUCCCCUCAUGAUGAUAUAUGUAUUGACUCCCGUAGCUUUUUUGGCCAAAAAUCCAAAAAUCCAAAAAAAAACUCGCCCUGCCUUGACCGAAACUUCAUCUAAGUGAUUUUUUCGGUGUUGGUCAGGGUGCCGUGGCGCGACUUGCCCAACGCCGCGCUGUGACUUCAAGGUCCCGCCCAAGGUCAGGGUUGGGAUUGGGGUUUGAAGCUUUCCCCCGCCGUGCAGCAGCGGGAUGACGCCGCGGAGCGGCGUUAAAGGCGCCAUCGUCACCUUCGGAAAAGGGGGCAAAAACAUGGUCAGCAUCGCAGUGCACGAAUGUGAAAACUUUAGUGAAUAUAUUCUGUUAUUCCACCAGAGAUUCUGAUCCUGUCUUCCACUAGCUCAGUUGGUUAGAGCGUGGUGCUUAUACGUGAUUAAGCCUUUGGCUUUCCUGAAUAUCUUGGCCGGUCAAUCGGUCAACUGUGCAACGCCAAGGUCGGCGGAUCGAGACCGCCGUGGAGGAAAACAAGGCCUUUUUAUUUUUAAAAAAUCCAAUAAUGGAAUAUGUGGUUUUAUUAAAAAGUUACCUUCACGAACGAAGUAAGGUACGAACGAAGGUACGAAGGUGAUAAUUCACAUAACCACAUGGUAGAGAUUUUGUACGGAUGCUCCAUCGGCACUAAAAGCUACCUUCGAGUACCUUCGAAGGUAAUUGUUUUGCUGCGUUGAUUGCAGUUCUGAGGUUUUUUUUCUUUGGCAAAGAAAGCACGACCCAAGUUGUAAAAUGCUAAAACGCUGUCCCCCAACCCAGUUCAUGGGCCUGACGGAAGAAGUCAAGUUUUGCAGGGCCUUUGUGGGAGCAUCUGCUUGAACGUGUUCUCUAUCGCGUAUCGAAGUCACGUGGGAAAAUCUCUGUGAUGUUGGCUUACCAAGAAUCUGCUUGGUCAUAGGCAUUCUUCAUCUCCGACUGGGGGUUCAAAGAGCAAGGCUCAUCCGCGUUUUUCGUUCCUCAAAUAAACAUAGAUCAAGUUUUUAAGUGCACGGCUACCACGAUUUUUCAUUCAAGAAUGUGUGCAGAUAUGACAUUUGUCUCUGGGUCUACCUUGGCAGCCUCUCUUGCACUUUGUUUCCCUUUUCAACGUUUUUCUAGUUUGCCAUCGAUGUCCCUCUCGUAAAGUAAAGACUGCGGCGUAACAUACGACGGCGUGUUCGUGUCUUGGUGUCCCCCGUGGAUGAAAUCAGAUCCAAGGAGUAGAUAUGUGACUACAAAGAAGGCUGAGCACACGGCAAUGAUCGGCCCGAAAGAAAAAAACACGGUGAGUCCCAGAGUCAGCAGCUCACCUGCUCUCGACGGAAACCCGGCAAGUCCAUCGUUCUGAAGGUCUCGAGACACCUUCAGUUGAUUGCCGAUGUCGCGUGAGGGAUCUCUGUCAUCCCUGAACAUGGGCCUGGGCUGUUCCUCAGCCUUCAGCAGCUCUUGGCCACCAAAGUCAGCCCCGUCGUUCUCUCCACCCUUCAAGGCUCGCUUCCUCCGCUUCAACUCCUUCGAGAAUGAUGUAGAGAGAUCAUCGGCCCCCGGAAGUCGCCGAUCCUGCUCGUCAUUCUCCGUGGCGGUCAGACGAGAGGAUCGCGGCGCGCGAACUUUUUGCAGGGAUGCUUCUUUUGUGUUCGUCAGAACACCGCCUCUCCAUAUGAGCUUGGGGUUGCGGGGAAGACGUUGAGCUCCAUGUAGUGCCGUCCCCGCGAGAGUUACGACGACGUGUGUCAUUUAUAUUUGCCGAUGCGCUCGUUGUGCACGUUCUCCUGCCAAGUUGUGUGAAGAAAUGACUUCGAAUGCAUGCUUGUGGGGGAUCUGCGCGAACGAACGAAAGAUUUGGGUUAAAAAAGUCAAAAAUACAAGUACUUGCAAACUGAUUUCCUCGCGUUUUUUGGCUUUGCACGGGCAAAUAAUAUUCAAAUAGUCACAUUCUCAGGUCGAUCUACGAAGGUACCUACAUUCGUUUCGUACCUUCGAAGGUAUAUAUAGAAUACGGACAGGGGGGUCACUGGCUG
rnacentral:lncRNA from 1 species